ACACCUAUUAAUUUUAGCAGCUCUUAUAAAUGCCUUGCCCGGGCACUCAGGAUGGAAGAGCUGCCAGGAGGGCAUGUGUCUUCCCAAGUGGGUCUCCUCAGCCAAACUCUGCUGACAUUCCUUUCCCUCCAUGGACCUCAGGCAUUGCAAGGUGGGGCGGCUCAUGACAGCUUCCUCCACACAAGCUCUUUGGACUCAAAAUCCUUUUUUUUUUUUUUUUUUUUUAAGUUGUUCUUUCUUUGCUCUUUGGAAACUACUGUUCAGAUGGUUCUGCAAGUUUAAUUUCUUCCCUCUUCGGCACUGAGAAUUUUGCUUUUGUUUUUAAUAGACUUAUGCAAAUCAAACGUAUAAUAUUUCUCUUAAAUUGAGGUCAUCUGGGUGACUAGUUCAAGAUUCAGAACAAGAUGCAUUCCAGGAUGUCCUGACACAACCAGAGAGGGACUGUCACUGUCUGGCUGAGCCCCCAGUUCCCCAUGGGAGAAUGUUGAGCCCACCGUCAGCCCCCAGCUCCCAGAUAGCAUGAGUCUCUCCUUCCUCCUCAGGCCCUCAGCCAUAGGUAAGUCUCUGCCUCCGACUCACAGAUCUCUCUGUGACCAAACCACCAUGUAGGAAAGUUCCUGGAGGAAACAAACAUUUAUGGACCUCACAGUUCGGGGUUAGCUGGAUCAUUUCUUGGAAGAUUUCUGAUCUGUAACAGAAGACAUAGCAGAGUCUUGCUUUUUAGUCCCCACCUCUGUCCCCGGCUCCUCACCUGCAUGUGCUAGUUACACAACAAAUGGCUUUUUUUUUCUUUAUACUCACAUGCACUGAAUUUUAGUUCGUAUCCUAAUUGUUUGGAUUUUUUUUAACAAAUGCUUUUUAGAUGGCAAAUGUUAAAAUGAAUUUUGCCAAUGCCCCAUGCUUCUCUUCCCACUCAGUUCACAGAAAGCAAGUUUGGGCCUGCCUCUGAUCUCUUGCAGCAGCAAGCUAAUCUCCAAGAUGACCUCACUGCAGAACUGUGUUUUAUAAUCAGCUAGCAAAUCUCAGCAUGAACCGAGAGCAAAGGUUAGAAAGACAAUAAAAAUACAAACAAGCCAGGAUUGUACAAGUCAGGUUAGUUCAGAGAACCAGCUGGACCUAUGAUUAAAUUUUAAUUAAAAAAAGAAACAAAAAACCAACAACUAUAGGAGGAGAAGCCUUCCCAGCAGAUAAGAAUCCUUUUCAGAAGAGCAAGACCUUUUUCUUAUUAACAAAUGGAGAUUUUGUAGUUCCUGAGAUAAUAAACAAAGGAAAAGGAUUUGAAAAUUCA